rnacentral:lncRNA from 1 species
AUACAAAUAUAUUCUGAACAGCAGCAAGAGGCGCUUAAAUCAAGAGUUUUGGAGAAGUAAAAAAGAAAUAUUCUAAAUUUAAACCAAAUAAACUAGAAAAACGGCAAAAAGAUAGAAUCUAACAUAUGGACCAGGAAAGUUUAAAGUUCAAAAUAAACUGUCUUUACUAUCAAACACUGUGAAUAUAAAUAAUCGUGUAAUUAAUGUAUUUACCUGAUUUAUCCAGCAACUAGAAAGAAGAGAGAUAAACACGUAGUUGGGAAUUUGGUUUCGGGUGGUAUACACAAUAUAUUAGGCUAUAUAAUUUGCAAACUCUUCAUAUCCCUCUUUUCCCUUUAACUUCCUACAUAGGAUUUCCCUUGUCCUUAGUUUUUCUGAAUGCAUAUGUACAGGCUGCCAUAACUCUCCUUCAGUGACACAGAGAACAUGUCAUUCAGUAAAUCGACCAAUCAAGAAUAGUACUAUUUCUAACACCAGUCCCUUACCUUCUAUGAAGCAACAGGGAUCACAGACCUGGAAGGAGUACUAGAGUUUCAAGUAUCAAAAAACCAGGGAUUUUAUUCCAUCUUCAUAACUCAUCAACUAAGGAACUUUGAUAAGAUACUUGGUCAUCAUGAAUCUAUUUAUUCAUGUGCAACCAUUAUUAUGCUAAUCUCUCCCACAUCUAUGCCUCAAGACUGCAAAUACAAUUUGUGAUAACACAAGUGAAAUCUCAAAAAAAUUUUUGAAUAUUCCAUAAAAGUAUAGGUUAGCAACAUCAAUGUGGUAGAAAUUGUAUCUCCAAAAAGACAAGACUCAAAAAAUAAAAGAAAUAUUCAGCGAUGAAUAAUAUUGGCUUUUAAUUUGUAUAUUAAUUAGCAAGAUUUCUAGUUAGCCUCACCUAAAGUGUUUUUAAACUCACAGGCAAUGACCAAACUGAAUGUGUUCAACUUACUUCUGGAGCCUGAAGAGUUCCUCACUGCAGAGAAGGAGUCAGCACUCUGCCUGGCUGCUGCAGAAGACGGACAGGGUGAAAGCAUCUCCAAAGUUGAUUUUGAGGAUGGCGACAGAAGUAAGGGUGCUCAGCUACUACAUAUCUUCCCAAACACCUGGCAGAAUGGUUACAGGGACUCUUCAGAGGAGACAAGAACAACAACAACAAAAAAGCAUAUCAAAAUAUGCUAAAGAUGUAUCUUUGAAAAAUAUGGUUGCUGUUAACUGUGUGAUCAUUUUCAAUCUCUAUCAGGAAUAUCACUAAAUGGAACUUAAAUAUUCAUAGAUUUGCAUAAUAAGGCUUUCAAUGGAAUCUGUAAUAUGCUCUGAUUCUAAUAAAUAUGUCAGUAGUCUGCUUUUCACUUUGGGAAGUUUUCUUAUCUCAUAAUUGAAAAUAGUUUAAACAGAUGAACAUCAAAGUUCAAUUUUCUUUAUAUUUCAGUGAAUUCAACUUGAAGGCUAUUGUUAAAUACGAAUCAUCCCUACUAAGUACCAGAAACCCUACAAGGGAGAUACAGCAAUGAAUGAAUGAAUCUCAUUAGUCUUGCCCUUAUGGAGUUAAACAGGGCUUCCCUUGUAGAUCAGCUGGUAAAGAAUCCACCUGCAAUACAGGAGACCCUGGCUCAAUUCCUGGGUCGGGAAGAUCUGCUGGAGAAGGGAUAGGCUACCCAC